ACCUGGCUUGCUCAGUCAGUAGAGCAUGUGACUCUUAAUCUCAGGGUCGUGAGUUCAAGCCCCAUGCUGGGUG
rfam:Felis catus isolate Cinnamon breed Abyssinian chromosome B3, whole genome shotgun sequence.